AGCAAAACAUAUAUUAAAGGCACUGCCUGCCCAAUGAAAAACCUUUUAAUGGCCGCAGUAUUCUGACUGUGCAAAGGUAGCAUAAUCACUUGUCUUUUAAAUAAAGACUAGUAUGAACGGCAAGACGAGAACUUAACUGUCUCUUUUAUCAAGUCAAUGAAACUGAUUACCCGGUACAAAGGCCGGAUUAUACUAAUAAGACGAGAAGACCCUAUGGAACUUAAAACACACUACACACUUUAACAAAAAUAAAUAAAUUCUUGUUGUAUUGUUUUUGGUUGGGGCAACCACGGAGAACCACCAUCCUCCGAGAACAUGACCAAGUUAAACAUAACAAAGUCUAACCAAUAUUAACAUGACCCAAUAUAAUUGAUCAACGAACCAAGCUACCCUAGGGAUAACAGCGCAAUCUUCUCCGAGAGUCCCUAUCAAAGAGAAGGCUUACGACCUCGAUGUUGGAUCAGGAUACCCAGACAGUGCAGCUGCCGUCAAAGGUUUGUUUGUUCAACAAUUAAAAUCCUACGUGAUCUGAGUUCAGACCGGAGCAAUCCAGGUCGGUUUCUAUCUAA
rnacentral:rRNA from 1 species